AUGUGGAGAUGGAGCCUGACAGGGCUUAGCACGGUUUUUUUGCCUCCUACCCCAGAAGAGCCUCCAGCCUUGGUGCCAGAGAUUCCGGUCAGGCCAGAUCUGGUCCCUCAAGGAGCUAGAGAAGAGCCCACCCAUGUAUCAGGACUGCAAGGCCCUGGGAUGGUGAACCUCCUCCAGAACAUGCAGGAGCUUCUGGUACAGAUCUUGCGAACAUCGAGGCAGCAGCAGGCGCUGCUCGAGAGCUUGGCCCAAGACACCGUCUCCCACCUGCAUCUCCUGUCUGAUGGCCUGGGCCAGAUGGGCCAAACCUUGCAGGCCCUGCUGAUGCACAGCCCCAACUGGCAGAGCCCCCGGUCUCUGCUCAUGCCCACACUCGCUCCCACUGGACCUCACCCCCCUGCCCUGGGCCUUCACUCUUCCCAUACCUCCUGUGUUCCUGUUGCCCCUGCCAGCCCCUGCCUAAAGGAGGAGACCAUCCUUCCCCCACCCAGGUUUGCCCCAUUAUGAAUCUGGACCCACUCUCCCCCAAGCUGUGGUGAGAGCUCAAGCCAAUAAGACAACUCUCUCUCACCUUCCUUCUACUGCUGGUGAAUACAGAGCCCCCGGCCCCAAGUAGUCUGUUCCCAAGGCUGGAGACUUUUAUGUAAAUGUCCUCAUAUUUUAGAAAAUAUUUAAUUUAAAAGAGAAACAUGCAUCCUUUUUUUACAGUGAGAGAUUAUUUGAUUAAAAAAAUCAAAAUAGCAGGAGAGGGGACUGUGCCCCUGACUCCACCCCUGUUCUUUCAGUUUCUUGGAACCUGUCUUAGGGGCUGAAGAUAAAUGCUGCAGGCAUCCCCAUCUUGCUUGUACCUGGCCAGAAUGACACUUGCUCACACAUACAGGCAAACAUCCUGACUCACAUGGCUCUCACAUCUAUGCUUGCUCUCUUGUGCUCUUGUGUAUACAUACCUGUUCUUGCAUAGAUGCUCCCAGGCACUCAUGUCUUCUCAGAUGCACACAGAUACGUGUGCUUGCCCACCCCCACCCCCCCAGAACACCACCCCCACUUCCUGUAUUUCUGAAGAAACUAGAGAAGUGUAGUUGGGGCCGGAAUUGGUUAACCUCAGAGGGAGGGGCUAUGAAAGCAAUAUCCACCCAAGCAGGGGGAGUUUGAGGGGGGAGUUGGUCUCAUGUCCAGUCUGGAAGCUUGCCCUGCUUUCUAGUAUAGACACAUAGGCUUCUAUCUAUUGGAGGUUAGUUUCCGGUACUCCAAAGAAGCCAUUCCCCUGUUAUCUCCUGUGGUCAUAACUCAAAUUAAAGCAACUGUGGGCCAAAAGGUAAAGUCAAGAUAGGUCUUCUUCCUGUGGAUGAUGGCCUCUUUCCUGUCUUCCCUCCCCCCAAGAUGCAUCUGAUACUUUGAUCUGGGUCUUCCCUCAUCCAUCUCCUGGCUGGCUGUUGGCAUAGUCCUCAUUAGGAAAGGCUGCUCGGCGGGUCUGGGAGCCCACAGAGGCGUAGAGUUCAGGCUCUGGGAGCCGGGGUGUGGGGGCAGACUGCUCAGGCUCCAGCAUCAGCACUACCUCUGAGUACUUGAUGGGUGGCCCGGCACUGGGCCCUGGGGGUCGUCCUUGAGGGGGCUGCAGCUGCAGGCUGGCAUAGCACAUAGCUUCCUCCCUAACCUAGGGGUACAGAGGCAGGUUAGGGUAGGUGAAGGGGACCCCAAGACCCCCUCGUCCUUAGAUUCCCCACCUGCUGUGCACCAAGUCAAACUUACUCGAGGGAUGUCUCCUGCUGAUUGCUCCUGCAGGAUGGGCCCUGGCUUCUGUGGUAGCCGCCCUGAGACAGGAUGGAACAAGACCCUCAUUCACGAGUUCCUAAAUCCCUCUAUCCCUUUUUCACUUGCUCUGCAAACCCCUUUGCCUUACCCGACUUCCCUCCCCCUCACCUGUUUGCAGGUAUGUCAGGUUUCCAUAAAGUGGUACCUCUUCCAUAGGCCUCUUGGGGCUGCAAUAUAAAGGGUGAGGAGUGAUGUUCUGGAGUGAACAAAUAAGACAAGAAAGUUGAUGGUGCAAAAACAUCUCUCUGGCGUUUCUGAAGAAUUAGGGGUGCCUGAGGGAAAGGCCUCUGUCUGGUGCCAUUCACUGACAGUACUCACCUUUCCUGUUCCUGGAAAGCCUUGUUCUUUUCUCUGGUCCAUCGGGCUAGGUGUUCAGCCAGUGCCAAAAGCAGCAACAGGGUCACCACCCCCAGCAAAGCCCACAGCCCAAAAGCACAGUGCAAGCCCGGGAACCCUGAAAGCAGUAGUCACUGGGCCAUCACCACACCCUCUUCAUGGCCAUUCCCUCCCCCUCCAGCCAUACUAUCCCCCAUCUCCAACCUGGUCACACCCAUCCACCCUCCUGUCCCCACCUCACCACCAGCUGUAACAUUUAAGCAUUCUUUCGUAUACAUUAAUGCCAAAGAUAUCUGGGCAUGAGCCUCCCAGGAGAAACAGGCACAGCUCCUCAGUCUCCAGUGGCCAGGUGACUUUGGGCUCAGAGCCCCAGCUGUCUUUCCCUCAGGACCAAGUUCACUCUGUUCCUGCCUCAGUCACCCUGUCCCCUGAAACUCAACUACUCAGCCACAGCUUCGAAAGCCACAGGAGCUUCCUUCCGGAGUGCAGAGAUGGGGGAAAUGCUCCCCCCUCCCCAGCUGUGGGAGUCAGAUUAAAUAUCUCGUGCUCUCACUCCCUUUCUUCUCUUCAGUUUGACCUAAUUGCUUCUGUGGAAUAUUGAGGGAAGGUAAUUCCAUGUUGACUUAAAGGCAGGCGAUUUCAGAUCUAUUGACCCAGGGCACUAUGGCCCAAGCCUCUUUAUAAGUGUAUCUACCUUGCCUUCCUGUCACUGCCGAUUCAGAGUGAGUAGGUCUUGCAGUGCCCAGAGACAAGGAGCCACAAGGGAUGGAGGGGAGGGAUGAAAUUCAGGAGCCGUCCUGAAAACUGGUUCUCGUUUCUAGCUUCUUCAUUACUAGAACCACCCAGCUCCAUUCUCCAUAUUAGAAGGAACCUCCUCCCUCUUACCCCUUCUUUAACUAAGCCUUUUCCAAUUCUGUAUGCUACAAUGUACCUACCAUUCCCAGAAUACCCACCUUAGUUUAGACCUCUCUCCCCUUUCUUUGAAUUCUAACUGGUCCCCCCUGCUACCAGCCUCUUUCCAUCUACAACAUGCCAUCCAAUUAAUUUUCCUAAUAUACAAGUCUGAUAUAACAUAACUCUCCUUGCCUUCCCUCAGCCAGGUUUUAGCAGCACCCCAAUAAAACCUCCUUGCCCUCUUUAUUCCA
ensembl:lncRNA